GAUCAUGGCUCAGGAUGAACGCUAGCUACAGGCUUAACACAUGCAAGUCGAGGGGGCAGCAUGGUCUUAGCUUGCUAAGACUGAUGGCGACCGGCGCAUGGGUGAGUAACACGUAUCCAACCUGCCGUCUACUCUUGGACAGCCUUCUGAAAGGAAGAUUAAUACAAGAUGGCAUCAUGAGUCCGCAUGUUCAUAUGAUUAAAGGUAUUCCGGUAGACG
rnacentral:rRNA from 1 species